AAACUUCACAAUGGAGGCAACUCCGAUGAGGGAAUUCCAAGUGCUAGCACAUUAGUGUUAGCUUUUCUUAAGCAUAGAUAACUUAAGGAAUAAGGGCUGGGUAAGACGGGUGCCAGCCGCCGCGGUAAUACCCGCAGCCCAAGAGGUGGUCGAUUUUAUUGAGUCUAAAACGUUCGUAGCCGGUUCAUUAAAUCCUUGGGUAAAUCGGAUGGCUUAACUACCCGAAUUCCGGGGAGACUGGUGAACUUGGGACCGGGAGAGGCAAGAGGUACUUUUGGGGUAGGGGUAAAAUCCUGUAAUCCUAAAAGGACCACCGGUGGCGAAGGCGUCUUGCUAGAACGGAUCCGACGGUGAGGGACGAAGCCCUGGGUCGCAAACGGGAUUAGAUACCCCGGUAGUCCAGGUGUAAACGCUGCAGACUUGGUGUUGGGGACCCUUCGGGGGUGUUCAGUGCCGGAGAGAAGUUGUUAAGUCGGCCACUUGGGGAGUACGUCCGCAAGGAUGAAACUUAAGGAAUU
rnacentral:rRNA from 1 species